rnacentral:rRNA from 1 species
GACGAACGCUGGCGGCGGGCUUAACACAUGCAAGUCGAACGGAAAGGCCCUGCUUUUGUGGGGUGCUCGAGUGGCGAACGGGUGAGUAACCCGUGAGUAACCUUGCCUUGACUUGGGGAUAACUGCAGGAAACUGGGGCUAAUACCGGAUAGGAGCUCCUGCUGCAGGGUGGGGGUUGGAAAGUUUCGGCGGUUGGGGAUGGACUCAGGGCUGAUCAGCUUGUUGGUGGGGUAAUGGCCUACCAAGGCGUUGAGCGGUAGCCGGUCGGAGAGGAUGACCAGUCACACUGGAACUGAGACACGGUCCAGACGCCUACGGGAGGCAGAAGUGGGGAAUAUUGGACAAGGGGCGGAAGCCGGAUCCAGCCAGGCCGCGUGUGUGAAGAAGGGCUUCGGAUUGUAAAGCACGUGAAGUUGGGAGGAAGGGCAGUAAGUUAAUACCUUGCUGUUGUGACGUGACCAACAGAAUAAGCACCGGCUAACUUCGUG